CGGGACGGGUGAGUAAUGUCUGGGAAACUGCCUGAUGGAGGGGGAUAACUGCUGGAAACGGUAGCUAAUACCGCAUAACGUCGCAAGACCGAAGAGGGGGACCUUCGGGCCUCUUGCCAUCGGAUGUGCCCAGAUGGGAUUAGCUAGUAGGUGGGGUAACGGCUCACCUAGGCGACGAUCCCUAGCUGGUCUGAGAGGAUGGCCGGCCACACUGGAACUGAGACACGGUCCAG
rnacentral:rRNA from 1 species